GGUAGCGGAGGGGCGUUAUUUCUAGAAACAAUGUAUAUUAAUAGACAAGAUAAUUCACAAAAAAGGAAGGACAGUUGGUCUUGUAAAAAAUAUAGGGAUAUAAAAUAUAGGGAUAAUUCUAAAAGUAAAUAGAAUAUUACACAUACCUAGAUUAUGGUAAAAGUAAUAAGUAGUGGCAUUUUGAACACUAGAGCAAAAGUUUAAGAAGCUUAGGACUUAGUUUUGUUAGGAUUGGACAUUCUUUCAACUGGAAGACACUUGACUGAUUACAUGUCAUCCUUACAGCAGUUGCUGUAGGGACCAUAAUUUGGCUAUCUUUAUGAAUAUUUUUGUGGCAAGAGGCCAGGUAUUUGAGACAAAAUGUUGACAUAGGGCGGUUAUUUAAAAAUUAAGAUUUAGGGGUCUUGCUAUAAGAAAAAGUCUGUUGUCAGGAAGUAACCCAUGUGUUUUAGUGUGUAUUUCCCCAGGAAAAAACAGCACAUAAGAGGCCAGAUGGAAGGGCAUGGGCUGAAUUCUGGAGACUGAGUGUACAUCAAGAUACACCGGGCUGGGGAUAUACUUCUUACAGCUCUUGCAGUGGUAAAGAUCGUCAUGUCUCUCUUUUGUGCGUGCAUAAGUUUCACAAGAAGUAAGGACCAGCUGAAUAAUGGGUGAGCUUGAAAACACCAUGACAGAGGACGUGAAACAAAAGAGAGAGAGAGAGAGAGAGAGAGAGAAAGACUAGAUUCCACUGUAGAGAUACUGGGUUGAGUUAGGGGUUACUUGUUUUAUUUGUUAAUGUAUCAUGUGAAAAAGGAUAGAUGUUAGGGUAGUUGUACUCUAAACAACAUGUUGAAGGCUCGGAGUGAAAGCCCAUUCAGUGUUGAAUUACUUCAAGAAUAAAUAAUGUUGACUGAGGUUAUGCACAUGCUUAUCAGUUGAAACAAGCAGGAUGCACGGAGUAGGAUGGACUCAUGUAUUGUGUGUGUAUAAAGUCAGAGCGAGUGCUCUGAAAAAGUGUGAGUUCCACGGACCACUCCGGCUUGCGAUAUCUUUUUAUUUAAAGCCUAAUGAAUUUCACAGAGUUCUUGAUUGCGUCAUAUUUGAACCAAUUUUCCACGACAACAGUCACUGAGCUCUUCAGAAAGGCGAUUCGACCAACAACAUUAUUGAUUAGAACCAUUUAUUCUAAUACUAUUAUGUUAUGGUAUGAAAAGUAAAAGUUAUUGGUUAAGCUGUUACUGAAAAUGUAAGCAGAAUGAAUGAAUUGUCUGGGCCUCUUGGGCAGUUAACGGGAGGAGCGAGGUUAUGGCUUGUCCUACAGAUAAGAAAUGUCUGGAAGACGUUCCAGGCCUGAUGAACAAUGGGCCCUUGUGAGAAUCGGAGAGAGGGGGGAUAAACUGAUGAUGUCAUGUUCAGUUUAUAACCUGUGGAAAAAUGUGUAUGCUUCAGUACUCUCUGGAAUUAAACGCUCUUUACCUGGCUUUUAAGACUGGUCUCGAUCUACUUCAUGCAUAAUUAAUGAACUUACAAUUCAUUAAUGAAUUAGAAAUGAGUGCUAAUUGAUUUUGGCAAUUAAAGCAUAAAGGAAUUUAGAAUUCCUCUAUCAAUUUGGUCCUUCGAUGUGCCGGAUCUAAAUAACGCUCACUGUGCCUGAAGAUAAUACGCUGAAAAUCGUGCAGGGACGAGUUUUUGACUCGUUUUACUAAAGACCUGACCUCUGAAUUGAGGUUAAAAUUGAAACAGGCCUGCGUAUUAUCACAGAGGACAGGGAGGGUGACUAGAUUCAAACGAACAAUGUUUUCCCAGCCGGCAGCAGGUAAAGUAGCCUUUAUUCUCGAGUCUGGGGGAUUUGAGCUCUUUAAUUGAUGUUCUGAAAUUUUCAGAAAUCAUCAAUAAUGGGGGCCUUGCUAUUCCCACAGGGUAUGUAUGACCAUCAUACACUGGGUUUUGUAUAACCGAUAUACACUGAAGCAGGUUCGAAAAUAACCUGUGGUAAUGUGCACUACCGAAAAUAAACUAAAACUUAGUCAUGAGUGGCACACCAGCCCGAGAUUAAGAAGGGAUAUUAAAUAGGUACUGGGAGAUAGGACGGUGAGUUUGUACAAAUACUGGGCGUAGAGAGACGGCAAGCGCAAGAUAACUGGAUUGGUCAUUUGAAUAGUGGCAGUAUUGAUCACCGUUCCGAUCCAACUAAUACUACGGAAAAUAUCCAAAUAAGGAGGAGAGGGAACUUAAAUGAGAUAAAAGCCAUAUUGUUUAGACAUGACAGUUCCAGGCGAGAGGGAAGUUUAACAAAUAGUGGCGUGAGAUAACGAUUAUUAGCGUUCUUUAAAAGCCCUCUGACACAACCGGAAAAUACUAGGGCUUUACAAACCCUGGGCUUAUGGUUGUAAGGUUAGACCUAAUGUUUGUUUCAAAAGUCAAAGCUAUUGGUAAGAUUUCCAUAAAAGAGCUAAACUUAAAUCAUGAGAAACGCACCCGACCGAGAUGGAAAAUACAUACUGAUUAUUUUUAAAGGGACACACACAUAGGCAAGCAGAAUAGUAACUAGAAGUAACUAAGUAACGGUAAAUUACAAAUUUAUAGAAUUGCACGCACAUAGAAUUUAAAAUGAUAUAGAAAGGCAUAGAUAAGUGUUUAAAGACCAUAGCUACUAGUAACGGCAAGGAUUAAGAAUGGGGAGAAAUGCCUCGAAAAGAAGUUGUCUAGAUGUCGGAGUAACAAAUACAGAUAACUGUGAAAAUGGGUAUAUUUGCGGAGAGUCUCAGUCAAUUCCAUUGUACUAGUGGGGGAGUGGUGAGCGCGACAGUCUCACCAACGGUAAUCCACGGUUCGGUUCCCGUUUAACUAAAAUUGAUUUUAGAUCGUAAUUGACCUAUUUGCAUGUUUUGCCUGAAAAAUACGGUCGCCAGUGUUUGCAAAAGAUAUAACUGAACGGAUAUUAUGUGUUCUAGAUAGAAUUGAUAAAAGAAGUCAUUAAAAAUAAUGGCGAGACAAUUUCUAUGUAAAACGCUAUUUCGCCCAAAAUGAUCUGGUGGAAUGUAUUGAGAUAGGAGUCGUAAUUAAAUAGAUGUAUCAUAAAAGAGAGAGAGUUACCUAAAGUUAAAUGGAGGAGAUAACGGAGAGAUACAAUACUAUUCCAGCCUGCCUGGACGUUAUGGCUAUUUAGGAAUCAUUUGACAUGAGAAGUUAAACACAAAAACAUGGUACGUUUAAUGUUAGGGUAUAGUAAAUUGAGAAGUUCGGUUGGGUUUACUCUGAUGAUUAGAAUUUAAAACUGAACUCAAACUGAACUCAAUCUGAAUAGGGAAUAUAUAUUUUACAAAGGCGGGCAGAUUUGUGUCUAUAGCCAAGCAACGGAAUUGCUAGACACUCAAUGGGGCUAUAUAGUGCAACGCUUUGGGCUAUAAAUUAGGUAAGAAUAGUUUAAUCGUAAGAAGUUGUGAUUGUUUUUCUGAUUAUUGAUCUUUGGUUAAGGUAACACCAGUGAAUUUGAACAAAAAGUAACGUAUUCUAAAAAUGAUCUGAUUUCCGUUCUCGUUGCGGGGAACAAAUGAAAAGUCUUAUCUUAAAGGGACAGUGCACAGUAAUCACAGUGGUUUGAGUGUAUGACAGUGGGAAAAAAUAUUGUGGGACGACAAUUCGAAGAGAGAAAAAUAAGUUACAUGAUACAUCAAGAGAUUUAAAACGAACAACGUGAAGGGAUCAUAAGAAUUAUUGGGUAUUGUUGUAGGAGUAAAUGUUUUGGUUAACCUCUUCAGUCGACCCUCUACUUUUUUGAACAUUCUGUUAAAAAUCGCGCAACAUUUCAGCGCCCUGCUACUCAUGCCAGGAAUAUAGUAUAUGCAUUUGCUUAGUCUGUGUGGAUAGAAAACACUCAGACGUUUAAAAAACUGGUUAAAUCACUGCUGUGGCUUUACCAGAACGGCAUUUACAUCGAAAAGCACAGGAAAAACUGAUCACUGAAAAUGGGGAAAAUAUAUCCAUGCGCUACUUGAACCCAUUGAUAAACGUGAACCACAAUUAAUUGACUGAGGUUGCAGUACCUACAGCUUCCACAGGGUGUCUAGAGUCUUGUCAUUUCCCUUCGAGUUUUUUCUUGGUCAAACACAUACAGGACACCGUAUCUAAUCCGGUCUAGGACCGGAUAUUUUCGUUGAGUUUCUAGCCGGACAUUUUUCCAGACGGACAGCUAAUGAUCUUUACAUCGCCUCCUGAUGGAUUUUAUCACUUAUUAACGUUUACUAAUACCUAAAGUUGCAUUACAAACGUAUUUCGAAGUGUUUUGUGAAAGUUUAUCGUCGACUUUUUGAAUUUUAAAAAAUGACGUUACGUUUUGAAACUAUGUUUUUUUCGUUUAUCACACAGUCUACAUAUAACGAUAUCUAGGCUUUAUAUGGACCGAUUUAAUCGAAAUAAAGACCCAAAUAGUGUUUAUGGGACAUCUAGGAGUGCCAACAAAGAAGAUGGUGAAAGGUAAUGAAUGUUUUCUAUUUUAUUGUGCGGUUUGUGUAACGCCGAAAUGCUAAUUUUUGUUUACAUCCCCUGUGGGUCUUUUGGGGUGUUGCAUGCUAUCAGAUAAUAGCUUCUCAUGCUUUCGCCGAAAAGCAUUUUAAAAAUCUGACUUGUUGCCUGGAUUCACAACGAGUGUAGCUUUAAUUCGAUACCCUGCAUGUGUAUUUUAAUGAACUUUUGAGUUUUAACUAAUACUAUUAGCAUUUAGCGUAGCGCAUUUGCAUUUCCAGAGCUCUAGUUGGGACGCAAGCGUCCCGAGUAGAAGCAACAGGUUAAGGGGAUUUCCCUGUUCCCAGAGACAAGGCAUUUUUAAGGCGAGCACUCACUAAUGCUGGUCUGACUUUGUAAUUAGACAAGUGAAUAACGUAUUGGGAAUAGAGUUGUAAUUAAAAUACUAAGUCAAAGACGAGACAGGUAUUUAGAGCAAAAUGGAUUCUAAAUGAUAACAAAGAGACCAUUAUGAUUUAUGCCCAUCGAAAAGCUUUUAUAAAAUUGGCGAAUUUAGAGAUGUUGGUUGGGGUGGUAAAUUAUAAUUCAGGAUUUGAACAGAUGUGAAAAAUUAGGUUUGGUUAAUCGAACAAGAAUUAUUGACAAUUCAUUUGAAGUCGCUACGAAUUGGCAGGUUGAGCGCUUGAUGAUGACGUCACUAGCGAGACACUUUUGUCACCAGGGACUGGGGAUAACGGAGCAAAAUGUAUGGCUGUUAGUGUGUGUAUCGGGGUUUCGAGUAACUCUUAAGAAUUUGAUAUAAAAAUGUUUUGUUUACUGGUUAUGGUCAAUUUUAGGGUUUGAUUUAACUUAGUUGAACAGUGUGUUCUGGCGGUUUUAGAUAGAACUCUUUGUUCCGGAACGGAUAAGAGUUACCCAAGAUAAGUAAAUUAAAGGAGCCAUGAGAGAAUGCGAAUGCAUAUUUAUUAAAUAUCGGGGAUUAAAUUACGGAUUCCUUACACUGUGAAAUGUACGACAUUUGCGGCAGAGAGAAAAAGUAAUGCAUUGGAUAAUAAUGUUAUCGGGUUAAUUGUAUCUAAAGGUAGCAUGGUCAUUUAAGUAAACAUAUCCGUAGACGAUGUUUAAAACUUAUGAUUAAUGAUUUGAGUCAAAGGGGAAUUAUCAUUAGGUUUUAGUUAUAGUUCACUUAUUGAGUUUCUGAUUCGAGGUAGCAUUAGUGAAUGAUAGUUAGGGGUGUGGUGGCUCACUUUUAGAGGCCUCCUGGGAUUAUAAUUUUGGGGGAGAGAGCAGCUUUAAACAACCAAAUUGAAAAAGGUCUGCAAAUUAUAUAUAUAUAUAAAACAACUGUUAGAAUGAUUUGUUUUAGUGCAAGGAGAUUUUAAAGAGGCACGCUCACAUAUGGAACCUUAUGAGGUGUUUUUUUUAUGGGUUUGAAUUAUACAGGUGACUAUUUCUAUUGUAAGGAUAAAGGGAUCUUUAUGUCUAAUAUGGUAUGGCCUUUUGACCUUAUCAUGACUGGCUUCUGAGGUCUGAUCAGCCUCAGAGGGGAGAGUCAUUUGUAUAAUGAAUGGGGUCAUAUUGAGUUACUAGUUUUAAGGUAAAUUCAUUAUAAAUGAAGCAGUUUUGGUUGAGGGUUUAGAAUUACUGUUUGAACCGCAAAUGAGAAAGUGGUUCAGGAUUCUGUCUUAUAACAUUAGCUGUGAAGUUUUUUUGAAUGGGCUAUUAGGGAGUUGGUAUUGUAACAGAGAGAAAGUCAUAUUCAUCAUUGAGAAUAAAUAGGGGAAGAGAACAUAUUUUGAGCCAACAGGGCAGGGAAGGAAUUGAGGUAUUUUUGUUUGAUUUUAACACCCGUGUACAGGAGUGUCAAAAGACGGGGGACAUUACCUGUGUAAUGGGGGAGGGUGUCCGUAUGGGGAUUACAUGAUAACCAACUUGGGACAGUUCUGGGACUGGAGAAGAGGAUAUCCUUAUGGCAUAGGGAAUCCCACAAAGGUGGAUAGGUUUUCCAUGAUAUGGGGGAAACCUGGGAGUACUGUUGAACUUUGUAAAGGUGAUGAAAUCCUACUAACCAUCAAAACUAUUAAGCUCUCUGAUGCAGGCACUUACACCCCCGGACUACAAAGGACCGGGACAGACACGGUGGGUGUGUUUUCUAUUAAGGUACUGCCAAAACCAGAGGUCUCACACGAACCAGGGCCGGACACACUCCUCUACCACCCAUGGACCGAACCUGCCACCACUGUGCUAAAAAUCCCAUUCAGGUAAUUAAUGUUAGACUAUUCAGCUAUUGAUCAAUUAGGCACGGAGACUGGUUUUGAUGGUAGGGACAAAUUGUGGCUGUCUUAUACAGAAUAGACUUGCUUAGGAUAUGCUUCUUACUAGUCAGGGGGGAGUCUGCAAGAUGUUCGGCGAACAAUGUUGUACGUAUAUCCCUAAUAACACCAGUCCAGAUGGUAGUAUAUCUAAGGGCCUUAAUGGGCUUGAUGCACUAUCUGCUGAGAUGAGGACCAUGGCGGGGGUAGAGGAGUCUGACUGUCCACCUGGUUGGGAGCCUGGUUUGGUAAGUAUACUGGUAUGGUGGUUACUGGAUUUCUGACCCUAAGUCUUGUAUUAUUUGUUAUUGAUGUGAUGUGCUGCUUGCAUCAUACCGUGUUUUAAGAAGUCUGUUACAGAUGUGGUGAGGGCUUCAGGCAUGAUGCCUUUGCUUGAUGCUCCAGUUGGAGAGGCUGAGGUGAAGCAUGCUUUGAGGGGAGGAUAAGACUGACUGAGGAUGACCCAUGUAUGUUUGUUCUCCCUGUCGUGAAGGGUGGCAUGGUGCCCACCUGGUGCAGGAUAAGAAUAGCUGAGAGGACCAGAUGGGUUAUAAGAAUGCUUUGUUCUGCUUUACUCUGUUUUACAGGACCAAAGUUUUAUUCCACACUUUGCAACACAUUAAAUCCAUGUUAUUGUCAGAUAGAAUACUGAGGGUCCCCAAGGAGAGGGCUUGUUAGUGUAGGAAGGAUUUUUAAUAUGGUUAGCAUUUAUUAGAUUAUACGUUUUUAAAUAGUAUUAUAUUUAACAGGAAUAUAGGACAUCUAUGAGGAGUUAGGAUUAUUGUUAGGAUUAAGAUAGAUUGAUUAAGGAAUUUGGAGAAAAGCCGCUCAUAGACAUGUUUUUUUUCUAAACGAGGGUCCAUGGGUUUGGAUGGAGCCAAACAGUGAGACAUUUAGUUCAAAUUUGGAAAACAUGAGAAACAUAGCUUUAGGCAGACAGAGGAGCCCUCCCCCGCACUGCAGAGACCUUGAAGGUUGGAGAGCAGAGAAGGUUUUAGAAGGGGGGCCAGGACGAGCAAAGAUAACAUAGUGAGUAGAUAAGUUACUGAGUGGAGACAAAAGUGAGAAUUGGACAUGUGGAAAAUGAAAGGGACACUCCUAAAUGGAAUUUCAGAUAUAAGGAUAAUUCACUAAAUCUUAUCUAAGUCAUUGUAUAAGAAUAAGGCAAGGUUGUUACCUGGGCAGAGCCAGGUAACAAAAGGGGGAUGGGUAAAUAGUGUUCUAGAAUAGGAUGUGACCUACGGGAUAAUUAACUAAUAAAAAAAAAAUUGUUAAUUGGUUUGACAAAUAAGAAACUGUUUUAUUAACCAAACCUGUAUGUCCAAGAGUUUAUGCACUACAGGUGAACUACAGGUGAAGACACUCAAUCCAGUCCCGUGGGCCACCCGGAUUCAUAUCGCACUGCGGGGGGGACUCUGGAGAGAUCAAUGACACUACAGAUGGUGCGUUAUGGGCCGAUUCCAGGUUCUGACCCAUGGAGGACUGAAGGCAUGUCUACAGAGGAAGUGGACGAAUCUGGAUCUGUCAUUUGUGGGGAAUAUAUGUUUGAUGAGAAUAGUGUUGAAAUGAAGGGGAAUUAGAUUGUAAUUUGUUUCAAUGAUUAAACUGUUUUUUAAUAAAGAUUGUAAAAAGAGAAAAAAAAAUCCUGAAAGAGGAGUUAUGAUUCUGAUGUAGGUUUAAAAACAGUUGGAGUUAAGGUGGGAUUGAUUGAUGAAAUGUGAAGAGUUGGAUAAACAUUUAUAAUUGAUUUGUUGAUUAUGUGUCUAUUCAUAUGAUAAUCUGAUAAACCUCUAUAAAAAGGUUAGUUAAGUUUGUUUAUACUUUCAUUUUUUAUGAUUAAAUAAAACUAGAUGUAGAAUUGAAUGUAGAAUAUUUGAUCAAAGGGAGGAUUGUUAGAGGAAAUUAUAGUUUAGAUGAUUAAUCAUGUAUACAUUAAUGAUUAGAACCAUUUAUUCUAAUACUAUUAUGUUAUGGUAUGAAAAGUAAAAGUUAUUGGUUAAGCUGUUACUGAAAAUGUAAGCAGAAUGAAUUAAUUGUCUGGGCCUCUUGGCAAGUUAACGGGAGGAGUGAGGUUAUGGCUUGUCCUACAGAUAAGAAAUGUCUGGAAGACGUUCCAGGCCUGAUGAACAAUGGGCCCUUGUGAGAAUCGGAGAGAGGGGGGAUAAACUGAUGAUGUCAUGUUCAGUUUAUAACCUGUGGAAAAAUGUGUAUGCUUCAGUACUCUCUGGAAUUAAACGCUCUUUACCUGGCUUUUAA